UACAGAGAGCUCCACCCUCAGGGGCAUUCCCAGGAAUACACAGCAGUGCACCGAGAACUCUGAAACUCUGGUGUCUAGCCCACAACCCGAGAGGUCAGUAAAUCAGAGAGCAUUAUCUCCAUCGUAUACAUUAAGACACUUAAACAUUAAGUUUCUGAACUAUGCCAACAUAGUUCAGAAACUCCCCCGCCCCUGAGCUAGUUAGUAGGAAACGGAGUGGGCAUGCAAACUCAAGCUUCCACAAUAAUUCCUGAAUUUCAGCCACCACACCUCAACGCUCUGCCCAAGGAGGUGCAUGGAAGAGGAAUUCCUGGAGGGGCUGCCUAGAAACCAGUGGCUGAGGAUGACAUCCUUGCAAAUGGCACCAAGCCCCCUAACAGCGGUUGCUGCAGUGCCAGCUUGGGACAUCCUGACCACAAAGCAGCUGAUGAUCAUCUCUAUUGAAGGCUCAGCCAUGAGGCAGUCCGUGAGCCUCCUGGGAAGCCUAGAGGUUUGUUUCUACAUGUCUGGUGGCUGCAGAGUUUGGAGAGCCGUGCCAACUGCAGUACCAGCCAAAUUGAGGAAUGGGGGAUUAUCUGCUCACAGCCAGAUCAGGGUGAGAGAAAAGAGACCAGCAAAUAGCCCUGACACAUGCGUAGACUACAAAGUAUGUUGCAGGUGGGGGGAGCAUAAACAAACGCAUGGAGCAUAUUAAGAAGAGAGUCGGGGCAGGCGGGGUGGCUCAUGCCUGUAACCCCAGCACUUUCGGAGGCUGAGGCGGGAGAAUCACUUGAGGUCAGGAGUUUGAGACCAGCCUAGCCAACAUGGUGAAACCCUGUCUCUACUAAAAAUAUAUAAAGUUAGUCAGGCGUGAUGGCCAGUGCCUGUAAUCCCAGCUACCUGGGUGGCUGAGGCAGAAGAACCGCUUGAACCUGGAGGUGGAGGUUGCGGUGAGCUGAGAUAGCACCACUGCACUCCAGCCUGGGGGACAGAGUGAGACCCUGUCUCAAAACAAACAAACAAACAAACAAACAAACAAAGACUGGGUAAACCCGUUGCUAGGAACAAAAGCUUCCUGUCAAGGAGUAGCCUGGUGUGGGUCUUGGAACUUUCCUCCAGCAAAGCGGGCAGCAUGGCCUAUGAACCAAAAGCUUUGAAACAGACACCCACAAAUGGGCUCUGUCACACCACGUCUGGUGUCACAUUCAGGAGCACCUAAUCUUUCACAUUUGCCUUGGGACCCAUCUGGGGUGGGGGCAGGUGGGGUGGGGACAGGUGGGGUGGGUAUCAGCAGCCUCUCUUCCUGAGCCUUACUCAAGUCACACACAAAGGCAGGCCAGGACUGGAACCAACUUUUCUGUCUUAGUUCCAAGCACUUUGCCACCCAUGUUGCCAAUCUAGGUAAAAUUGUAAAUCUGAAAGAUGACACCUUAACUACAAGUUCCUUUAACUCUGGAGAGAGUUAAAUAAAAAUAAUGUAGUGGGCA